rnacentral:rRNA from 1 species
GACAAACGCUGGCGGCGUGCCUAAUACAUGCAAGUCGAACGACGAAAGCCUUCGGGCAAGUAAGAGUGGCGCACGGGCGAGGAACACGCAGAUAAUCUGCCCCUCAGUGGGGAAUAACUCUCCGAAAGGAGUGCUAAUACCGCAUAAGACCACAAGCUCUGCGGAGCAAGGGGUUAAAGGAUUUAUUCGCUGAAGGAUGAGUCUGCGUCCGAUUAGCUAGUUGGUGAGGUAAUGGCUUACCAAGGCAAUGAUCGGUAGAUGGUCUGAGAGGAUGAUCAUCCGCACUGGAACUGAGACACGGUCCAGACUCCUACGGGAGGCAGCAGUAGGGAAUAUUGCACAAUGGGGGAAACCCUGAUGCAGCAACGCCGCGUGAGUGAUGAAGGCUCUAGGGUCGUAAAGCUCUGUCGUAUGGGAAGAAAAAAAUGACGGUACCAUACAAGAAAGGACCGGCCAACUUCGUGCCAGCAGCCGCAGUAA